AGAUACCACCAGAUAGAUCUUAGGGACUUCGUCUUGCAUCCCGCCGCUUCUCCGCUCCGCGUCGUGCCUUCCUACACCAGUGGCAGCAGCCGCACUGAGGUUACGACGGAAAGGGAAUCUCUACCAAGGGUGAGGCUUGGGGAUCUAGUGAUGGAUCCUGGAGUUCGGCCGCAGGGGGAUUUCAAUGUGGUUGCAUGGGAAUCAAGAUUGCCGCCUUACACCUCGUUUGUUCAUUUCGUUCCAAAUGGAGAUGGUGCUCCAGGUGUGGUGGAACAGAGUACUCCCCUGUCUGGGAGGAAGCGUGCAGCGGUGCCUUUGUAA
rnacentral:rRNA from 1 species